rnacentral:tRNA from 1 species
GCCCGCCUAGCUCAAUCGGAUAGAGCGUCAGACUCUUACGACCAUAGGCAGGGCAUCUGAAGGCUGCGAGUUCGACCCUCGCGGUGGGCU